GGUGGGAACUCAAAGGAGACUGCCGGUGAUAAACCGGAGGAAGGUGGGGAUGACGUCAAGUCAUCAUGGCCCUUACGAGUAGGGCUACACACGUGCUACAAUGGCAGAUACAAAGUGAAGCGAACUCGCGAGAGCAAGCGGACCACAUAAAGUCUGUCGUAGUCCGGAUUGGAGUCUGCAACUCGACUCCAUGAAGUCGGAAUCGCUAGUAAUCGUAGAUCAGAAUGC
rnacentral:rRNA from 1 species